AUACCAGCACCCCGAGUGGUCGGGACGAUUAUUGGGCCUAAAGCAUCCGUAGCCGGUUCUGCAAGUCCCCCGUUAAAUCCAGCUGCUCAACAGAUGGGCCGCGGAGGAUACUACAGAGCUAGGAGGCAGGAGAGGCAAGCGGUACUCAGUGGGUAGGGGUAAAAUCCGUUGAUCCAUUGAAGACCACCAGUGGCGAAGGCGGCUUGCCAGAAUGCGCUCGACGGUGAGGGAGGAAAGCUGGGGGAGAAAACCGGAUUAGAUACCCGGGUAGUCCCAGCCGUAAACGAUGCAGACUCGGUGAUGGGUUGGCUUCGCGCUAACCCAGUGCCGCAGGGAAGCCGUUAAGUCUGCCGCCUGGGGAGUACGGUCGCAAGACUGAAACUCAAAGGAAUUGGCGGGG
rnacentral:rRNA from 1 species